GGAUUGUGGCUCAGCGGUAGAGCGCUCACCUCGCCUGCGGGACCCGGGUUCGAUUCUCAGCACCA
rnacentral:tRNA from 1 species